UACGUAGGAGACGAGCGUUGUCCGGAGUUACUGGGCGUAAAGGGUGCGUAGGCGGCGCGGUAAGUCGGGUGUGAAAUCUCGGAGCUUAACUCCGAAACUGCAUUCGAUACUGCCGUGCUUGAGGACUGGAGAGGAGACUGGAAUUUACGGUGUAGCGGUGAAAUGCGUAGAUAUCGUAAGGAAGACCAGUGGCGAAGGCGGGUCUCUGGACAGUUCCUGACGCUGAGGCACGAAGGUCAGGGGAGCAAACGGGG
rnacentral:rRNA from 1 species